rnacentral:lncRNA from 1 species
CGAUCUUGCCUCCUACCAGGCGUUAUUGGCCUGUUUCACAGUCACCCGUCAUUGACAUCCCAUUGAUGGGGAUUGAUGGUUUUACAUUGUCAAAGGGCCCCUGUUCUCAGGAGACAUUCCAGCGUUGGUGGAUCCCUUGUAUCAUUGGAGCUCAGACCCGCGCCACGCAGUUCAUGGGGGAUAUGGUUCCAGGAUCCGUGAUGGUGACGAAUUGGCUAGCCUGUGUUAGAGAUCCAACUCAUGCGACACAGAUUGAGAGAUUGACUCGGCAGCUGGACCGAUCACAUCUUUUCAUCCGGCAUUUGGGCAGAGAUCCUUCAGAGGCAGAUACUUUUGAUCCUUCCAGCAGUGGCGCUGGUCCCUCAG